AGGACGAACGCUGGCGGCGUGCUUAAUACAUGCAAGUCAACUUGACUUUAGAUAGCAAUAUCGAAAAGUAGGGUGGCGCACGGGUGCGUAACGCGUAGGUAAUCUGCCCUGAGGUCUGACAUAACCCGUCGAAAGGCGGGCUAACAUCAGAUGAUAUAUAAUCACGACAUCGUGGAAAUAUCAAAUCUUCGGAGCCUUGGGAUGAGCCUGCGUCUGAUUAGGUAGUUGGCGGAGUAAUAGCCCACCAAGCCUACGAUCAGUAGCUGGUCUGAGAGGAUGAUCAGCCGCACUGGAACUGAGACACGGUCCAGACUCCUACGGGAGGCAGCAGUAAGGAAUAUUGCUCAAUGGGGGGAAACCCUGAAGCAGCAACGCCGCGUGAAGGAUGAAAUACUUUUGUAUGUAAACUUCUGUAAGAUGGGAAAAAUAUUCUCCUCGGGAGAAUUGAUUGUACCAUCAGAGUAAGCCCCGGCUAACUACGUG
rnacentral:rRNA from 1 species